AUUGAACGCUGGCGGAAUGCUUUACACAUGCAAGUCGAGCGGCAGCGCGGGGGCAACCCUGGCGGCGAGCGGCGAACGGGUGAGUAACACAUCGGAACGUACCCAGUUGUGGGGGAUAGCUCGGCGAAAGCCGGAUUAAUACCGCAUACGACCUGAGGGUGAAAGCGGGGGAUCGCAAGACCUCGCGCGAUUGGAGCGGCCGAUGUCGGAUUAGCUAGUUGGUAGGGUAAAGGCCUACCAAGGCGACGAUCCGUAGCGGGUCUGAGAGGACGGCCCGCCACACUGGAACUGAGACACGGUCCAGACUCCUACGGGAGGCAGCAGUGGGGAAUUUUGGACAAUGGGGGAAACCCUGAUCCAGCCAUUCCGCGUGAGUGAAGAAGGCCUUCGGGUUGUAAAGCUCUUUCGGCAGGAACGAAAAGGCGGGCUCUAACAUAGCCUGUCAAUGACGGUACCUGAAGAAGAAGCACCGGCUAACUACGUGCCAGCAGCCGCGGUAAUACGUAGGGUGCGAGCGUUAAUCGGAAUUACUGGGCGUAAAGCGUGCGCAGGCGGCUUUGUAAGACAGGUGUGAAAUCCCCGGGCUUAACCUGGGAACUGCGCUUGUGACUGCAAGGCUUGAGUGCGGCAGAGGGGGGUGGAAUUCCACGUGUAGCAGUGAAAUGCGUAGAGAUGUGGAGGAACACCGAUGGCGAAGGCAGCCCCCUGGGUCGACACUGACGCUCAUGCACGAAAGCGUGGGUAGCAAACAGGAUUAGAUACCCUGGUAGUCCACGCCCUAAACGAUGCCAACUAGGUGUUGGGGAAGGAGACUUCCUUAGUACCGUAGCUAACGCGUGAAGUUGGCCGCCUGGGGAGUACGGUCGCAAGAUUAV
rnacentral:rRNA from 1 species